UUCAAAUGAGCCCACCCCCUUGUCUCUAUGACUAUGUGAUCCAUAGUUAUGUUCAAUGUAAAAUCCCUAUGUAAUUUCCCACAGUAGGAAAAACACAUUGUUUCAUGGGCGAUCCCUCACCAUUGACUUAGUAUGGGGCAAAUUUGGGGGGCUCUAGCCCCCCAGGGGUACAACUUAUACCCCAAUGCAGGGUAUGUUCUUGCACAGCCUCAUAGCCUCUCCAAAUGUGGUGAUUCACAUGUUUCUGCGAAAUUCUCUCUCGGAGCUACGAUCCGUCAAAGUUGGACGUAAUGCGUUGUCUAUGCGAUUUAUCGGCCGAUAUUUCGCCCGGUGUACGAACAUCGUACGCCCGAUCGCUUAUAAAAGUCAUAGCACACCAUUCCCGAUUAGGCCGCACGAUUUGACGCCUGUUUCGUUGGUCUGUGACGAAAACUGCGGGACUAGUUACGCGCCGAAAUUUGUACGGAAUCUAUAAGAAGAAUAAGAAUAAUAAUAAGUAUGUGAGAUAGUAAUAGUGUUGCCUUGCCUCCGGCAAGCACCACUAACUAGAAGGUACAUUUCCUGAAGAAAAUGUGAGUGGUGCUUGCAGUGGCAAAACUCGCCCCUCUGUUGCUAAGGUGUGGUUGCUAGGGUACCCGGGGUGGUUGCUAGGGUGGUUGCUAUGGUAACCUGGGUGGUUGCUAGGGCCGUUGCUAAGGUACACAAGGUGGUUGCUAGGGUAAUUGGGGCAGUUGCUAGGGUGUUGCUAUGUGGUUGCUAGGGUGCCCGGGUGGUUGCUAGGGCGGUUGCUAGGGUCCCCAAGAUGGUUGCUAGGGCCGUUGCUAGGGUACUCAGGUUGGUUGCUAGGGUAAUCGGGGUGGUUGCUAGGGUGUUGCUAUGUGGUUGCUAGGGUACCCGGGGUGGUUGCUAGGGCGGUUGCUAGGGUCCCCAUGAUGGUUGCUAGGGCCGUUGCUAGGGUACCCAGGUUGGUUGCUAGGGUAAUCGGGGUGGUUGCUAGGGUGUUGCUAUGUGGUUGCUAGGGUACCCGGGGUGGUUGCUAGGGCGGUUGCUAGGGUCCCCAUGAUGGUUGCUAGGGCCGUUGCUAGGGUACCCAGGGUGGUUGCUAGGGUAAUCGGGGUGGUUGCUAAGGUGUUGCUAGGCGGUUGCUAGGGUACCCGGGGUGGUUGCUAGGCAGUUGCUAUGGUCUCCUGGGUGGUUGCUAUGAUGUUACUAGGUGGUUGGUAGUUGUCACAGAUGGUCACUAUGUAGUUAUUAUAGAGUUCUUAGCCCAUUUGAGCACUUAGCUAAUCACUAUUAGCAUGUAGCUAAUCACUGCUAGCAUGACAAGCAUGUUGGAAGUCCAGUGUGCUAGCAUGAGUCAAAAAAUCCAACCGCCAUGUCUGUACGAUGUUCUGAUGCAGAGAUAUAGGUCAUGCAAAACGGUUGCUAGGGUACUCUGUUUGGUUGCUAUGGAGUGGCUUGGCAGCUGCCAAUGGUGAUACUCCAAAGGCUGCUCGCCAAUAUAAACCAACCCCCAUGCCUCUACGAUGUUCUGAUGAAGAGAUAUAGAUCUUGCAAAACGGUUGCUAGGGUACUG